rnacentral:rRNA from 1 species
CCCCUAGUAACUGCGAGUGAAGCGGGAAAAGCUCAAAUUUAAAAUCUGGCGGUCUUUGGUCGUCCGAGUUGUAGUCUGGAGAAGUGCUUUCCGCGCUGGACCGUGUAUAAGUCUCUUGGAACAGAGCGUCAUAGAGGGUGAGAAUCCCGUCUUUGACACGGACUACCAGUGCUUUGUGAUGCGCUCUCAAAGAGUCGAGUUGUUUGGGAAUGCAGCUCAAAAUGGGUGGUGAAUUCCAUCUAAAGCUAAAUAUUGGCGAGAGACCGAUAGCGAACAAGUACCGUGAGGGAAAGAUGAAAAGCACUUUGGAAAGAGAGUUAAACAGUACGUGAAAUUGCUGAAAGGGAAACGCUUGAAGUCAGUCGCGUUGUCUGGGACUCAGCCUUGCUUUUGCUUGGUGCACUUUCCGGAUGACGGGCCAGCAUCGAUUUUGACCGUCGGAAAAGGGCUAGGGUAAUGUGGCACCUCCGGGUGUGUUAUAGACUUUAGUCGCAUACGGCGGUCGGGAUCGAGGAACGCAGCGCGCCGUAAGGCAGGGGUUCGCCCACUUUCGCGCUUAGGAUGCUGGCGUAAUGGCUUUAAACGACCCGUCUUGAAACACGGACCAAGGAGUCUAACAUACCUGCGAGUGUUUGGGUGGAAAACCCGAGCGCGUAAUGAAAGUGAAAGUUGAGACCUCUGUCGUGGAGGGCAUCGACGCCCGGACCUGACGUUCUCUGACGGAUCCGCGGUAGAGCAUGUAUGUUGGGACCCGAAAGAUGGUGAACUAUGCCUGAAUAGGGUGAAGCCAGAGGAAACUCUGGUGGAGGCUCGUAGCGAUUCUGACGUGCAAAUCGAUCGUCAAAUUUGGGUAUAGCGGCGAAAGACUAAUUGAA